UACGGAGGGUGCAAGCGUUAUCCGGAUUCACUGGGUUUAAAGGGCGCGCAGGCGGAUUGGUAAGUCAGUGGUGAAAUACCUGAGCUUAACUCGGGAACUGCCAUUGAUACUACUGGUCUUGAAUAUUGUUGAGGUAUGCGGAAUGGGCCAUGUAGCGGUGAAAUGCAUAGAUAUGACCCGGAACACCAAUUGCGAAGGCAGCAUGCUAAACAAAGAUUGACGCUGAGGCUCGAAAGCGUGGGGAUCAAACAGG
rnacentral:rRNA from 1 species